UACGUAGGGCGCAAGCGUUGUCCGGAAUUAUUGGGCGUAAAGAGCUCGUAGGUGGUUUGUUACGUCUGCUGUGAAAACCUAGGGCUUAACCCUGGGCCUGCAGUGGAUACGGGCAGACUAGAGGUAGGUAGGGGAGAAUGGAAUUCCCGGUGUAGCGGUGAAAUGCGCAGAUAUCGGGAGGAACACCGGUGGCGAAGGCGGUUCUCUGGGCCUGUUCUGGACGCUG
rnacentral:rRNA from 1 species